UUUAGAGUGAGGUUUGUAGAAUACAUGAGUUUAGAGUGAGGUUUGUAGAAAACAUGAGUUUAGAGUGAGUGUUAUAGAAUGCAUGAGUUUAGAGUGAGGUUUGUAGAAUACACAAGUUUAGAGUGAGGUUUGUAGAAAACAUGAGUUUAGAGUGAGGUUUGUAGAAUACAUGAGUUUAGAGUGAGGUUUGUAGAAUACAUGAGUUUAGAGUGAGGUUUGUAGAAUACAUGAGUAUAGAGUGAGUGUUAUAGAAUACAUGAGUUUAGAGUGAGGUUUGUAGAAAACAUGAGUUUAGAGUGAGUGUUAUAGAAUGCAUGAGUUUAGAGUGAGGUUUGUAGAAUACAUGAGUUUAGAGUGAGGUUUGUAGAAUACAUGAGUUUAGAGUGAGGUUUGUAGAAUACAUGAGUUUAGAGUGAGGUUUGUAGAAUACAUGAGUAUAGAGUGAGUGUUAUAGAAUACAUGAGUUUAGAGUGAGGUUUGUAGAAUACAUGAGUUUAGAGUGAGUGUUAUAGAAUGCAUGACUUUAGAGUGAGGUUUGUAGAAUACAUGAGUUUAGUGUGAGUGUUGUAGAAAACAUGAGUUUAGAGUGAGGUUUGUAGAAAACAUGAGUUUAGAGUGAGUGUUGUAGAAAACAUGAGUUUAGAGUUAGGUUUGUGGAAUACACAAGUUUAGAGUGAGGUUUGUAGAAAACAUGAGUUUAGAGUGAGGUUUGUAGAAUACAUGAGUUUAGAGUGAGGUUUGUAGAAAACAUGAGUUUAGAGUGAGUGUUAUAGAAUGCAUGAGUUUCGAGUGAGGUUUGUAGAAUACAUGAAUUUAGAGUGAGUGUUAUAGAAUGCAUGAGUUUUGAGUGAGGUUUGUAGAAUACAUGAGUUUAGAGUGAGCGUUAUAGAAUGCAUGAGAUUAGAGUGAGGUUUGUAGAAUACAUGAGUUUAGAGUGAGUGAUAUAGAAUGCAUGAGUUUAGAGUGAGUGUUAUAAAAUGCAUGAGUUUAGAGUGAGGUUUGUAGAAUACAUGAGUUUAGAAUGAGUGUUAUAGCAUGCAUGAGUUUAAAGUGAGUGUUGUAGAAAACAUGAGUUUAGAGUGGGGUUUGUAGAAAACAUGAGUUUAGAGUGAGUUUUGUAGAAUACAUGAGUUUAGAGUGAGGUUUGUGGAAAACAUGAGUUUAGAGUGAGUGUUAUAGAAUGCAUGAGUUUCGAGUGAGGUUUGUAGAAUACAUGAGUUUAGAGUGAGUGUUAUAGAAUGCAUGAGAUUUGAGUGAGGUUUGUAGAAUACAUGAGUUUAGAGUGAGCGUUAUAGAAUGCAUGAGUUUAGAGUGAGGUUUGUAGAAUACAUGAGUUUAGAGUGAGUGAUAUAGAAUGCAUGAGUUUAGAGUGAGUGUUAUAAAAUGCAUGAGUUUAGAGUGAGGUUUGUAGAAUA